rnacentral:rRNA from 1 species
AGAGUUUGAUCAUGGCUCAGAAUCAACGCUGGCGGCGUGCCUAACACAUGCAAGUCGAGCGAGAAAAGGGGGGCAACUCCCUGAGUACAGCGGCGCACGGGUGAGUAACACGUGGGUAAUCUGCCCUGGAGUGGGGAAUAACACCGGGAAACCGGUGCUAAUACCGCAUACGAUAACGAGGUCUGCGGACUUUGUUAUGAAAGGAGCAAUUCGCUCCAGGAGGAGCCCGCGGCUGAUUAGCUAGUUGGUGAGGUAAUGGCUCACCAAGGCUACGAUCAGUAUCCGGUCUGAGAGGACGGUCGGACACACUGGAACUGAGACACGGUCCAGACUCCUACGGGAGGCAGCAGUGGGGAAUUUUUGGCAAUGGGGGCAACCCUGACCAAGCAACGCCGCGUGGGUGAUGAAGUCUCUUGGGACGUAAAACCCUUUCGACGGGGAAGAAAACCGCAAGGUUUGACGGUACCCGUAGAAGAAGCCCCGGCUAACUCCGUGCCAGCAGCCGCGGUAAUACGGGGGGGGCAAGCGUUGUUCGGAAUUACUGGGCGUAAAGGGUGCGUAGGCGGUGCUCUAAGUCGGAUGUGAAAACUCUGGGCUCAACCCAGAGCCUGCAUCCGAAACUGGAGUGCUAGAGUUCUGGAGGGGGGUAGCGGAAUUCCUGGUGUAGCGGAAAUGCGUAGAUAUCAGGAGGAACACCGGUGGCGAAGGCGGCUACCUGGACAGAGUCUGACGCUGAGGCACGAAAGCUAGGGGAGCAAACAGGAUUAGAUACCCUAGUAGUCC